UACAGAGGUCUCAAGCGUUGUUCGGAUUCAUUGGGCGUAAAGGGUUUGUAGGUGGCUUGCUAAGUCAGACGUGAAAUCCCUCAGCUUAACUGGGGAACUGCGUCUGAUACUGGCGAGCUUGAGUGCAGGAGAGGAACGCGGAAUUCCAGGUGUAGCGGUGAAAUGCGUAGAUAUCUGGAGGAACACCGGUGGCGAAGGCGGCGUUCUGGACUGCAACUGACACUGAAAAACGAAAGCCAGGGGAGCAAACGGG
rnacentral:rRNA from 1 species